GACACUGAGGUGCGAAAGCGUGGGUAGCAAACAGGAUUAGAUACCCUGGUAGUCCACGCCGUAAACGAUGUCGACCAGCCGUUGGGUGCCUAGCGCACUUUGUGGCGAAGUUAACGCGAUAAGUCGACCGCCUGGGGAGUACGGCCGCAAGGUUAAAACUCAAAUGAAUUGACGGGGGCCCGCACAAGCGGUGGAGCAUGUGGUUUAAUUCGAUGCAACGCGAAGAACCUUACCUACUCUUGACAUCCUGCGAAUUCGGUAGAGAUACCUUAGUGCCUUCGGGAACGCAGAGACAGGUGCUGCAUGGCUGUCGUCAGCUCGUGUUGUGAAAUGUUGGGUUAAGUCCCGUAACGAGCGCAACCCUUGUCCUUAUUUGCCAGCGCGUAAUGGCGGGAACUCUAAGGAGACUGCCGGUGACAAACCGGAGGAAGGUGGGGACGACGUCAAGUCAUCAUGGCCCUUACGAGUAGGGCUACACACGUGCUACAAUGGUCGGUACAAAGGGUUGCCAACUCGCGAGAGUGAGCCAAUCCCGAAAAGCCGAUCUCAGUCCGGAUCGGAGUCUGCAACUCGACUCCGUGAAGUCGGAAUCGCUAGUAAUCGUAGAUCAGAAUGCUACGGUGAAUACGUUCCCGGGCCUUGUACACACCGCCCGUCACACCAUGGGAGUGGACUGCACCAGAAGUGGUUAGCC
rnacentral:rRNA from 1 species